rnacentral:rRNA from 1 species
AGAGGUCCCGCCUGCCCUGUGACUAUAUGUUUAACGGCCGCGGUAUUUUGACCGUGCAAAGGUAGCGCAAUCACUUGUCUUUUAAAUGGAGACCCGUAUGAAUGGCAUAACGAGGGCUUAACUGUCUCCUUUUUCAAGUCAAUGAAAUUGAUCUCCCCGUGCAGAAGCGGGGAUAGACCCAUAAGACGAGAAGACCCUAUGGAGCUUUAGACACCAAGGCAGAUCAUGUUAAGCACCCCCGAAUAAAGGACUAAACCAGAGGAUUCCUGCCCUAAUGUCUUUGGUUGGGGCGACCGUGGGGAAACAAAAAACCCCCAUGUGGAACGGGAAUACCCUUUCCUAAAACUAAGAGCCCCCGCUCUAAUAAGCAGAAUUUCUGACCAAUCAGAUCCGGCAACGCCGAUCAACGGACCGAGUUACCCUAGGGAUAACAGCGCAAUCCUCUUUUAGAGCCCAUAUCGACAAGAGGGUUUACGACCUCGAUGUUGGAUCAGGACAUCCUAAUGGUGCAGCCGCUAU